GACGAACGCUGGCGGCGUGCUUAACACAUGCAAGUCGAACGAAGAGCGAUGGAAGCUUGCUUCUAUCAAUCUUAGUGGCGAACGGGUGAGUAACGCGUAAUCAACCUGCCCUUCAGAGGGGGACAACAGUUGGAAACGACUGCUAAUACCGCAUACGCUCUAACCACGGCAUCGAGGAUAGAUGAAAGGUGGCCUCUACAUGUAAGCCAUCACUGAAGGAGGGGAUUGCGUCUGAUUAGCUAGUUGGAGGGGUAACGGCCCACCAAGGCGAUGAUCAGUAGCCGGUCUGAGAGGAUGAGCGGCCACAUUGGGACUGAGACACGGCCCAGACUCCUACGGGAGGCAGCAGUGGGGAAUCUUCCGCAAUGGACGAGAGUCUGACGGAGCAACGCCGCGUGAGUGAUGACGGCCUUCGGGUUGUAAAGCUCGGUUAAUCGGGACGAAAGGCCUUCUUGCGAAUAGUGAGAAGGAUUGACGGUACCGGAAUAGAAAGCCACGGCUAACUACGUG
rnacentral:rRNA from 1 species